UGGGAAUAUUGGACAAUGGGGGCAACCCUGAUCCAGCCAUGCCGCGUGUGUGAAGAAGGCCUUUUGGUUGUAAAGCACUUUAAGCAGGGAGGAGAGGCUAAUGGUUAAUACCCAUUAGAUUAGGCGUUACCUGCAGAAUAAGCACCGGCUAACUCUGUGCCAGCAGCCGCGGUAAAUACAGAGGGUGCGAGCGUUAAUCGGAAUUUACUGGGCGUAAAGCGAGUGUAGGUGGCUCAUUAAGUCACAUGUGAAAUCCCCGGGCUUAACCUGGGAACUGCAUGUGAUACUGGUGGUGCUAGAAUAUGUGAGAGGGAAGUAGAAUUUCCCAGGUGUAGCGGUGAAAUGCGUAGAGAUCUGGAGGAAUACCGAUGGCGAAGGCAGCUUCCUGGCAUAAUAUUGACACUGAGAUUCGAAAGCGUGGGUAGCAAACAGGAUUAGAUACCCUGGCAGUCCACGCCGUAAAACGAUGUCUACUAGCCGUUGGGGUCCUUGAGACUUUAGUGGCGCAGUUAACGCGAUAAGUAGACCGCCUGGGGGAGUUACGGCCGCAAGGUU
rnacentral:rRNA from 1 species